AGAAUCAACGCUGGCGGCGUGCCUAACACAUGCAAGUCGAACGAGAAAGUGGAGCAAUCCAUGAGUAAAGUGGCGACCGGGUGAGUAACACGUGACUACCUACCCUUGAGUGGGGGAUAACCUCGGGAAACCGAGGCUAAUACCGCAUAGUAUCGAAAGAUCAAAGGAGUAAUCCGCUUUUGGAGGGGUCGCGGCUGAUUAGCUAGUUGGUAGGGUAAUGGCCUACCAAGGCGAAGAUCGGUA
rnacentral:rRNA from 1 species